CACGUAGGGGGCAAGCGUUGUCCGGAUUUAUUGGGCGUAAAGAGCUCGUAGGCGGCUCAGUAAGUCAGGUGUGAAACCUCCAGGCUCAACCUGGAGACGCCACCUGAUACUGCUGUGGCUAGAGUCCGGUAGGGGAGCGUGGAAUUCCUGGUGUAGCGGUGAAAUGCGCAGAUAUCAGGAAGAACACCUAUGGCGAAAGCAGCUCUCUGGGACGGUACUGACGCUGAGACGCGAAAGCGUGGGGAGCGAACAGG
rnacentral:rRNA from 1 species